CGCCCGCCAGCCCUUGGCCGCUCCCGGCAGAAGGGUGGCUGGUAAUUGAUCGUCUGGGGGAGGGGGCGCGGAGAGGCGCGAGGACGGGUCCCGGGGAGGCCAGGCCACGGAGCUGGCCCCGUUCGCUCACUUGCAAGGGACCCCCCAGCCUCCGCCACCGAGGCGGCUCGCAAGUGGUUUCAGAAAUGCUGGUGAUCUCGCCGUCGCUCUGCCGCACUAGGAGGCCGCGGCGGGAAUCCGCGCGCCGCCCCGAGGGCCGGGAGCGCCCCCCGCCUCGCCCUCCAAGUCCGCGCGCCCCCAAGUCGCACUGAGAACCCAGUCCCCGAUCGGUUUCCUCUACACCGUCUGAGCAGAAGAGAGUGGGGACCGGGCAAGAAAGAGAAUUUUCUGCAAAAGAACUUUCUUUCUUACGCCUUUUCCAGGAAAAGAUCCUGGAUUGGGACUACAUGUUGGGCCUGGAGAAAUGAUAAGCUGUGAUGUGAAUCAGAACACCUGGUACAUGCUUAGUAAACAGAUGAGAUUCAUCAUCUUCCAGCCUUACCCAAUGGAUUGGACCUUUCUGUUAUCUUAAUCACACUACUUUAGCUUUAAUGUUUAAAAAAAUUAUUUUCUUGCCUGGUGCCAAUCAUAUAAAAGGGUUUAGUAUUCAUUGCAUAUUGAAUACUGUAAUGGUGGUGAUUGUAAUCUAGUUUUUACUUUAAGUUUUCAUGAUCUUGCCACUCCUCAGCAUUGCACUGGACAGUAUCUGUAAGACUAUGUUAUCCCAAAGGUGCAGAGGAAAGAAAGGAAGAACUUACUUAUACCUUGAGGUUUCAUAAUGGCCAAGGUAGGGAGGGAGUUUUCCAAAAUUUUGUGAAAUCACCUUUCUCAAAUAUAGACUUAUUUGAUUGA